GAUGAACGCUGGCGGCGUGCCUAAUACAUGCAAGUCGAGCGAACAGACGAGGAGCUUGCUCCUUUGUCGUUAGCGGCGGACGGGUGAGUAACACGUGGGUAACCUACCUAUAAGACUGGGAUAACUUCGGGAAACCGGAGCUAAUACCGGAUAAUAUUUCGAACCGCAUGGUUCGAUAGUGAAAGAUGGCUUUGCUAUCACUUAUAGAUGGACCUGCGCCGUAUUAGCUAGUUGGUAAGGUAACGGCUUACCAAGGCAACGAUACGUAGCCGACCUGAGAGGGUGAUCGGCCACACUGGAACUGAGACACGGUCCAGACUCCUACGGGAGGCAGCAGUAGGGAAUCUUCCGCAAUGGGCGAAAGCCUGACGGAGCAACGCCGCGUGAGUGAUGAAGGUCUUCGGAUCGUAAAACUCUGUUAUUAGGGAAGAACAAACGUGUAAGUAACUGUGCACGUCUUGACGGUACCUAAUCAGAAAGCCACGGCUAACUACGUG
rnacentral:rRNA from 1 species